UACGAAGGGGGCUAGCGUUGUUCGGAUUUACUGGGCGUAAAGCGCACGUAGGCGGAUCGUUAAGUCAGGGGUGAAAUCCUGGAGCUCAACUCCAGAACUGCCUUUGAUACUGGCGAUCUCGAGUCCGGAAGAGGUGAGUGGAACUCCUAGUGUAGAGGUGGAAUUCGUAGAUAUUCGGAAGAACACCAGUGGCGAAGGCGGCUCACUGGACUGGUAUUGACGCUGAGGUGCGAAAGCGUGGGGAGCAAACAGGG
rnacentral:rRNA from 1 species